GCGGUCGUGGCGGAAUUGGUAGACGCGCAGCGUUGAGCUCGCUGUUCUUUCACCGGAGUGGAAGUUCGAGUCUUCUCGACCGCA
rnacentral:tRNA from 1 species